GAUGAACGCUGGCGGCGUGCCUAAUACAUGCAAGUCGAGCGAACAGACGAGGAGCUUGCUCCUCUGACGUUAGCGGCGGACGGGUGAGUAACACGUGGAUAACCUACAUAUAAGACUGGGAUAACUUCGGGAAACCGGAGCUAAUACCGGAUAAUAUAUUGAACCGCAUGGUUCAAUAGUGAAAGACGGUUUUGCUGUCACUUAUAGAUGGAUCCGCGCCGCAUUAGCUAGUUGGUAAGGUAACGGCUUACCAAGGCGACGAUGCGUAGCCGACCUGAGCGGGUGAUCGGCCACACUGGAACUGAGACACGGUCCACACUCCUACGGGAGGCAGCAUUAGGGAAUCUUCCGCAAAGGGCGAAAGCCUGACGGAGCAACGCCGCGUGAGUGAUGAAGGUCUUCGUAUCGUAAAACUCUGUUAUUAGGGAAGAACAAAUGUGUAAGUAACUAUGCACGUCUUGACGGUACCUAAUCAGAAAGCCACGGCUAACUACGUG
rnacentral:rRNA from 1 species